AGAAGCAUUUGUCCUGCUCUUCAAUUAGGGUCGUUUGAAACAGAAGUCACUAAUUGCAGUCUUUCAAUUGAAAUUAGUUUUUGCUAAAAGGUGCUUGUUUAAUAGAAGACAAUGAAUGAUUGUGUUCUCUCUUUGGCUAUUUUUUUUUUUUAAAGGGACACCAUCUUUUUUUUCAGUGAUCAUUUUCAUGAAACCAGAUUAAAAAUGAAAAUGGAUGUGGUGACAAAAACAGUUCCAUCAUCGUGUAUCAGACUUUUCACUUAAGUGGAACCAACACUAAGCGGACUACAGACAGGUCAUGAUAGACCAUCCAGUGUUUCCUGUGAUUUAGCAAAACAAUAAAAGAUCACCGUCUCAGGUCAGUGCAGCCAACAUGUUAAAAAGGUCCAAGAAUAGCAAGACAAUGCACUCACUAGGAGUAUCUGAGCAAGGGUGCACAGCACUCUGCUGCAGCAUGUUAGCUGCAGGAUCAGGGUAGCCUAGUGGUUAGAGUGUAGAGGUGGCAGGUAGCCUAGUGGUUAGUGUGUAGAGGUGGCAGGUAGCCUAGUGGUUAGUGUGUAGAGGUGGCAGGUAGCCUAGUGGUUAGAGUGUAGAGGUGGCAGGUAGCCUAGUGGUUAGUGUGUAGAGGUGGCAGGUAGCCUAGUGGUUAGAGUGUAGAGGUGGCAGGUAGCCUAGUGGUUAGUGUGUAGAGGUGGCAGGUAGCCUAGUGGUUAGUGUGUAGAGGUGGCAGGUAGCCUAGUGGUUAGAGUGUAGAGGUGGCAGGUAGCCUAGUGGUUAGUGUGUAGAGGUGGCAGGUAGCCUAGUGGUUAGAGUGUAGAGGUGGCAGGUAGCCUAGUGGUUAGUGUGUAGAGGUGGCAGGUAGCCUAGUGGUUAGAGUGUAGAGGUGGCAGGUAGCCUAGUGGUUAGAGUGUAGAGGUGGCAGGUAGCCUAGUGGUUAGUGUGUAGAGGUGGCAGGUAGCCUAGUGGUUAGAGUGUAGAGGUGGCAGGUAGCCUAGUGGUUAGAGUGUAGAGGUGGCAGGUAGCCUAGUGGUUAGAGUGUAGAGGUGGCAGGUAGCCUAGUGGUUAGAGUGUCGAGGUGGCAGGUAGCCUAGUGGUUAGAGUGUAGAGGUGGCAGGGUAGCCUAGUGGUUAGAGUGUCGAGGUGGUAGGGUAGCCUAGUGGUUAGAGUGUAGAGGUGGCAGGUAGCCUAGUGGUUAGAGUGUCGAGGUGGUAGGGUAGCCUAGUGGUUAGAGUGUCGAGGUGGUAGGGUAGCCUAGUGGUUAGA